rnacentral:tRNA from 2 species
GCCGGUGUGUCGAAAUUGGCAAACGAGGCAGACUCAAAAUCUGCUGUCAGCAAUGGCUUGUGGGUUCGAGUCCCACCACCGGCACCA